CCUGCCCCUAGAGUCAUUGCGGGUGUGGCUGCCAUGGAGAGGUGGCAGAGAGGAGAAAAGCUAUGUCUACGCUCAGUGCUCUGAUCUGAGUGAUCAGUAGUGUAACAUU
rnacentral:snoRNA from 1 species